rnacentral:rRNA from 1 species
AGCGAACGCUGGCGGCAGGCUUAACACAUGCAAGUCGAGCGGGCAUCCUUGUGGUGUCAGCGGCAGACGGGUGAGUAACGCGUGGGAACGUGCCCUUCGGUUCGGAAUAACUCAGGGAAACUUGAGCUAAUACCGGAUACGUGCGAGAGCAGAAAGGUUUAUCUGCCGAAGGAUCGGCCCGCGUCUGAUUAGCUAGUUGGUGAGGUUAUGGCUCACCAAGGCGACGAUCAGUAGCUGGUCUGAGAGGAUGAUCAGCCACACUGGGACUGAGACACGGCCCAGACUCCUACGGGAGGCAGCAGUGGGGAAUAUUGGACAAUGGGGGCAACCCUGAUCCAGCCAUGCCGCGUGAGUGAUGACGGCCUUAGGGUUGUAAAGCUCUUUUCUCCGGGGCGAUAAUGACGGUACCGGAGGAAUAAGCCCCGGCUAACUUCGUG